ensembl:lncRNA LINC01206 long intergenic non-protein coding RNA 1206
GAGAUUCAGACCUUGACAGUUGUAACCGAUAGACUGGGCUGGGGCAACGCUGAUGAAAGGCAAAUUCCUGAGAGAAAAAUCACCCAGAUUUUUCAGUGCCUUCUCUAGCUUUCUAGAAGUUGUUAUGAGUGGACCUGACUACCUAGAGAGAGUAAUACAGAAGCUCCGUGCCGAUCACAGCUACCUCAUUACCAUGUUCCUCCAAGAUGGCCGCCCCUGAGGAGAAUCAUCAACUGGGCUUUACGGAAGAGAGAAAUCCAAACGACCAUCAGCAACAAAUGAAAGACUGAAGUUGAAAGGAAAUCCAUAAUUUUUGAAUGCUGGCCGAGGUCUGUGACCUCUGACUGAAUGGUUUCCAAGCUCCGAAUUCCUAGGUGAUGUUUUCAUUUGUUCACACUUGCUGAAGAAGGGAAAGGCUCUCUGAUUUACGUGUAAGCAAAACAAUCUAAACAGUAGGAUAAAAUCAUGUUGGAAUGGAGUUCUGUGUGGAUGCUCCUUUGAACCAAAUCAGUUCCACAACUGACCCUGUCAGGGACAUAUAAAUUUAGCAUUUUGGUGUGGAUACAGAAGACGAGAUUAACACAGAUCAAGUAACAUGGAAAUAAAAAAGGAGACAAUGCUGGAUGAUACAGGGGCAGCCAACAAGAGGAGAAAACCCAAGCAUUGGCAAAUGCCUCAUUAUCCAAAGAACACUCCUUAUACUCCUGAGAAUUUGUGGCAGUCCUGGGUUAAACGAUGAAGGCUUCUUAUUCUCAUGUAGGUCUCACAGCCUCUUGUCUCCCUGAGUUUUAAACACAUUGCAUUACCUUUCCAGAGGCAGCUUCCUGUGUCCCUGUCCUUUGGAAAAUGCUGCCUCCUGGUCUGCUUGUGUGGAGAAAGAAUGAGGAAGACAAGGAAAUUAAGGAAGGACCCCUCAUUAUGUAAAAGAAAGCCUGAGGAGGCUUUCCCCUCUGAGUUUUUCCGUGGAUUGCUGGACUCUGAGGCCCUCAUUCCUCUUGCAGGAGGUGUGGAGCAAAACUGUGUUGAAUGAACUGUAGAUGGAAAUUCUCUCCUUCCCACCGAGGAGCCGCUGCAGGUUGCAGACUCCCAGAAUGCCACACUGAGAAGAGGAGGGCUAAAAUUCUAGAGCAGAAUCCCUGGGGCAGCCCCUGCUGAAGAAGGGUGCAUCUGUUGAGAAUCUCAUCACCGCCCCCACCCCGCCCAGCCUUCAAUUUAGAGGAAUUUCUAGUUCACGCAGAAUGAAGACAAGAUCACAUAAGUGAGGACGACGCCCCAUUUACAAGUGUGAUUUGGAAGACUGAAGUGGAAACCUUGGGAAGGGGCCUCAGAGUAUGUCAGCUGGGGUCAGACGGGAACAGGAGUCUGGCUCAACACACAUUUAUUGCACUCCUGUUUCAUGCCAAGAAAUGUACCAAAAUCUGGGACUGUGUAACACAGCAAAGGAAAAGACUCAUCUCCAGGAAGCCCCCUUGUCUAGGAAGAGAAAUUGAAUAUCAGCAUAAGGUGGUGAAAAGCUGUGAAGGAGAUGAGUGCCAGGAGUCCAUGGAGGAAGGAUUCUAGCCUGGACAGGUGAGGAAUGGCUUUCUGGAAGAAGCAGAUGCCCCAGCUGAACUUUAAAAUGCCCAUGUGAAAUGAACUGUCUGUAUCUUCAAUCAGCAAAUGGAGUAGGUGGCCACUGUUUAAUUCUGGAAUGGGGAAGUGUAAAGGUGUGGUGUGUGUGUUUACCCCUACUUAGGGAUUCAAAACAGACAGUAAAGAACAAAAGUCUAGCCCUUUGAGCAUUCUCCAUGGGACAUUUGAGGUCUAGCUGGCCCCAGAGAAAGAGAGACAGAAGCAAGGUCAUAUCCAUUUGAGAAAAUCAAAGUGUCUGCUCCAA